AGCGAACGUUGGUGGCGUGCUUAACACAUGCAAGUCGAACGCGAAAGAAGACUUCGGUCUUCGAGUAGAGUGGCGCACGGGUGAGUAACACGUGAGUAACAUACCUUUAGAUGGGGAAUAACUACUUGAAAAGGUAGCUAAUACCGCAUAGGACCACGGUGACUUAUGUCACAGUGGUGAAAGCUUUAUGCGUCUAAAGAUUGGCUCGCGGUCUAUUAGGUAGUUGGUGGGGUAAUGGCCUACCAAGCCCGAGAUAGAUAGCUGGUCUGAGAGGAUGAUCAGCCACACUGGAACUGAGACACGGUCCAGACUCCUGCGGGAGGCAGCAGUGGGGAAUAUUGCGCAAUGGGCGAAAGCCUGACGCAGCAACGCCACGUGUGUGAUUAAGGCCUUCGGGUCGUAAAGCACUGUUAGGAGGGAAGAAUUUUGACGGUACCUCCAGAGAAAGCACCGGCUAACUCCG
rnacentral:rRNA from 1 species